rnacentral:rRNA from 1 species
CCUACGGGAGGCAGCAGUAGGGAAUAUUGCUCAAUGGGGGAAACCCUGAAGCAGCAACGCCGCGUGGAGGAUGAAGGUUUUCGGAUUGUAAACUCCUUUUGUUAGAGAAGAUAAUGACGGUAUCUAACGAAUAAGCACCGGCUAACUCCGUGCCAGCAGCCGCGGUAAUACGGAGGGUGCAAGCGUGACUCGGAAUCACUGGGCGGAAAGAGCGCGUAGGCGGGAUAGCAAGUCAGAUGUGAAAUCCUAUGGCUUAACCAUAGAACUGCAUUUGAAACUGUUAUUCUAGAGUAUGGGAGAGGUAGGUGGAAUUCUUGGUGUAGGGGUAAAAUCCGUAGAGAUCAAGAGGAAUACUCAUUGCGAAGGCGACCUGCUAGAACAUAACUGACGUUGAUGCGCGAAAGCGUGGGGAGCAAACAGGAUUAGAUACCCUGGUAGUC